CCUCUGAAAUAUCAUGAUCCUCUAGGCCUAAUUUCAGGGAAAUAUCUGAAAAAAUGGAGCCACGUUGAAGCUUCUUCCUCCUCUCAUAGUGACAUACUUCAUAAAGGAGGAGGCAGAGGGAGCAGCUAGCAGUGUGACGGUGAAUGAUGGAAAGAGAAGGGGGCCACCAGAGAUGGUGGUCCCAAGCCAUGUAGGUCCACCGGUGAUGGAAAGAUCUGAGUCGACGACAUGGUGGUGUCCCGCCAUGAAAAGAUAGUCUGGCAACUCAAAUUAUCAUAGAAUUGAAUAAAUUGUAAUCAUAACCAUCGCCAUUGUACUGAGAUACUUCUCACCACAUGUAAAUGGGCGAGGAAGCUGUUAAAAGCUUUAAUGAUUUUAGCCUUUUCCGUUGGAACCUUGUUCCACAAAGCAAAAGAUGUAUUUACUAAAUGGAAAAUCGUGUGUCUGUCCAUAUUCGGUCUGGCUUACCUAACACAUGAAGCUUGUUUGUGUGGAUGGUCUAAAAAGAGUUGGUCGUUCCCUACUCUCGGGGGUUGUAAACGUCUGGUCUGGUAACUAAACGUCACCUUAGAGUGAAUAUCUUAACGAAGUUGUUCAUUUAAA